GAUGAACGCUGACAGAAUGCUUAACACAUGCAAGUCGAUGGGGAAGUGGUGCUUGCACCAUGGCAACCAUGGCGGACGGGUGAGUAACGCGUAAGGGACUUACCUGCAGGACUGGGAUAACAGGGGGAAACUCCUGACAAGACCGGAUAAUGUCAUGGAGCUGCAUGGCUUUAUGAUGAAAGGAGACGCCUGCGGAGAGCCUUGCGUCCUAUUAGCUAGUUGGUGAGGUAAUGGCUCACCAAGGCGAAGAUAGGUAGCCGGCCUGAGAGGGUGGACGGCCACAAGGGGACUGAGAUACGGCCCUUACUCCUACGGGAGGCAGCAGUGGGGAAUAUUGGACAAUGGGGGCAACCCUGAUCCAGCAAUUCUGUGUGCACGAAGAAGGUUUUCGGAUUGUAAAGUGCUUUCAGCAGGGAAGAAGUAAGUGACGGUACCUGCAGAAGAAGCGACGGCUAAAUACAUG
rnacentral:rRNA from 1 species